CCGCCAUUGAUCUUCCUCCUUCAUUUAAUAAACUCAUCUCCUUGAAGCAUCCGGGCAUCAGCUUUUCCUCUUUGCCCGCUCUCUGCCUAUUAGUGUCUGCCCUCAGCUCGUCUCCCUUCUCUCCACGCGAGCAUCAAAGCCACAGACAUCAAGAGUCUUCUCAAUCUCAAUCUCAAUCUUUACCUUCUUUGCUGCCCCCCCUUUUUUUUUUACACCUUCUACCUUUAACCGCCACUGGGUUUGUCAAUGCAGACGGUGCAGAGUGCAAAUUCACUAUAUGGAUGCAUCCUGUGCUCCAAGUGCUGGCUUCAGUUUCACUUCCUGGGCUCCUGUGGAUCGACAACAUAUGUUCAAUGGCUAAAUGUAAAAAAAAAAAAAAAAAAAGUCAUCUGCGCUUGUGGAAGCAAUUUGACACACUCGGCUUUCCUCGACUCGUCUCUCUGAUGCCUUCUUAAAUGUUUUGGCAGCUUUCUCCUGUGCAUUCUUCAUUUUAGUUUCAGCCUCAUUCAUCUUUCCACCCUGUUUCUUGAAGUCCUUUGUCUGCGCCGUUUGGUUCUGUCCCUCUGUUGCCCUCUAAGCUACGUCUGUCCAACGCGCGAUAUCGCCCCCUGGACACGAGCGUAGACGCAGACGUAGCAAGGACAAAGGACAAAAUUUACCUUGAAGGAAAACCAUGGUGGCUUCUUGAUCCAGGCUGCAACAAAAGGCACCAGCAUUUGACAACCAAAGGGUGCUCAAAACACCAUUUUAAGCAACGAUGGGAGUCUCUUUUCUUUUCUCUCUCUCGCUCUUUAACACACAUGGAGACACACACACACACACACACACGACAGGCUUUUAGGUAGACAGGACAGACAGGCUCUCCGGUGGAGGAGAAAUGCUCGCCCACUGUGGGCCAACACGCUCAGCAGAGCGGCUAAUUGCAGUGAUAAAUAUGAGAUGGUGGAGAUGGGAGACGAAAGGCUCGUAGGAGCUCUCCUCACAUGAACCUGGCGAGGGAGGUGGCUGUCUGAAGGGAUUUACGCAGAAGCACGCGCGUGAAGAAAGUCC
ensembl:lncRNA